AGUUCCUCUCUAAACAGCAGAAGCCAUAUGCUGUGGGGAUCAUGCAGAAUUGCAGUGACAUUGAAGCAAUGGCAGUGGACCACAGAUAAUUAUGCAAGGCUAUGUGUAUUUCCUAAAGAAAUUCACUGUGCAUGAGAAGCUUGUUGGCAUAAAUGUUGUCUAUGUCGGCAUUACAACUGGGAUUUAUUUGCACCACUAUGAAGAUCUCAGUCUUUGACUAAUCCUGCAUGUUGCAGGGACAAACACGGCUACUUCUUGAAAAUGCUCUUUCCUUUCUCUAGAUGUGUGGAGAGAUUAUCACACUUUGUGGACUUUGGAGAUGGGGUGAGGGGAGAAAGCCAGGUCGGGGAUAGGCAACUAUAAGAGGACCAGAAACCAGAGAAGCUCUUCAGAAAAAGCAUUCCCCAAAGCAAUAAACAAAAACAUGAAUGAAUGCAGAGAACUGGAAAUAUACUGAUUUAUCCCUGCUUACCUCACUUUGCAGGGAGCCCCCGGUGGCACAGUGGGUUAAACCGCUGAGCUGCUGAACUUGCUGACUGAAAGGCUGACUCCAGUACCCUGAUAACCCUUUCUGGUCUGGCAAAGUAUCCAUGAAGCAUAACUGUUUCACACUUCAGACUACUGCACAAGCACUGGAGAAAUUAUACGGUUUAGCCAAUAUUGCACCACCUGACAUCCACGAGGAAGUAGCAGCCAAUAAUGAAAAGACCAAGGCAGUGACAUCUCAAGCCCAUCCCUUGUUCGGAAGUCAUCCAGCACACCAAUAAAUCAAGAAAUAGCUUUCUAAGAUCUAUAUAGAUAUUCAGCAAGUGAGAGUUCAAAGUGGCAGGCUAAAACCUGGAACCUCAAUCCAUGGUUGAUACUGAAUGAGAUACUCCCUCCUGGAAACACAGAAGACUGAGAAACUUGGAAGGUGCUGAACAGAAUGUGCUCUGGCACCACGAGAUGCAAAGCCAAGCUUAAGAAAUGGGGCCACAAAGUGAGUCCACGACACGCCAGUGUGGAGAAGAGCAAACCACAGAUCACCUAUUACAAUGCAGUCUGAGCCCUGCCACAUGCACAAUGGAGGGCCUUCUUAUAGCAACACCAGAGGCACUCCGAGUGGCCAGCUACUGGUCAAAAGACAUUUCGUAUAAUGACAAGUUCUUAAUUUUGUUUGUGUUUUUAAAUACAUUGCAACUGAAUCAUAACUACUGACAUGAUAAAUAAAUAAAUCCUCCAAGGAAAUCAAAAGCAUCCCCCUAAACAAAUUUUACCACGAAAACGCUGUAACCUUAGGACUGCAAUAAAUUGAACAUUACUUGAAGGGACAUGGCACCAAAAAAUUUGCUUCAAAGUUUGGCCAUCCAAUGAAAAUGUUCUGAAUUUUGAGCAAUUAAGUUGUAAUGGAAAGCAGAGCAAUUCUUAACAACACAUGAAGUGUUGGGAGAUGCCUAGCAAGCCUGAUAGUAUCCCUCUGCAGCCUGUAGUUUACCAUACUUAACCUUUUUCAGCCAAUAAAAUAUUUUUUUCCAAAAAUGCCUGCAAAUCCUGUACAUUAAAAUUAAUAGGAGCUGUGCCUUUUUAUAGAUCAAAGGAAAUGCGGCCUCAAUUCAUCUCAUGCUGAGCUUCCAAACCAUUUAGUAGUAAUGGUUCAUAAUGAUACUAAGCUCCAAGGUAAGAAGACAGUAAUUUAAACAAGGCUGUUGACUAGUUUGAUUCUGGAUAAAGAGCUUUGCUCUGAGCCUGGUAUACUGUUCAGAGGUUUGUUUGAAAGGUUAUAGAGCAGAUCAGAUUUUGGGGGGGAGGGGCAAUAAGCUUAGGCGUGUGGUUUUCUU